GGAAACUGCACAAUGUGUGCGGCGUUAAAUCGUAUGCCGUUGGAGAAGAACGUGAGCACUGAGUGCUCUUCCUUUAGAUUGGAAAGUUUCGGAGGCAUUGAGUAAAGGAAAAGUAUCAGAGAAGUAGCUUGCUUGACUUCGGUUCUUCGGUGGAGAAAAGGAAUUGAACAAUUCAAGAAUGAAGUUUUGGUGCUCUCCAAACUGCAGCAUAUGAAACUCGUCAGAAUUUUGUCCUGUUGCCUACAAGGAAAAGAUUUAAUCAUUGUGGCUAUAAGGU